GUUAGGUUAGGCUAUAAAUGUGUUUAUUACUUUUUUCACUGAAAGGUUUGAUCAACGGAUUUUUACGACAAGAAGCACUCAUUAUGAGAGGAAAGGUUAAAAAGUUUAUGAUGAUAUGAUGCAGAAAUUACUUACACCACACAUGGUGUUCCCUCUUACCAAAACUGUCGAUAGGCAAUUUCCAUUAAGUACGUAAUGUAAGAAGUCGCAGUUCGAUCAAUUAUUAGAGAGCAAUUUCAAAAAUGUAUUGAAAAAUGUUCAGGUAUAGAAGGAGGGAUUUAAUAUGAAGUUUUCAACUUGAAAAGGAAAUAUAUAUAAAGGAAACAGAUUUUGUAGUAAACCAAUUACCUCUUUUAAUGAAAGAAGUCCACACUGAUGGUGCCUGCUCACUUUAAUCAAUUAAUUAAUGGUGAAUUGAAUGAACUAUUUCAACGGAUUUCAAUAACAUGGACUCAUUUUUCUGGGGUCAUAUUAAGAAUGAAGUGUACAAAAUACCUCCAGUAACAAGAGAUGACAUGAUGGAGAGAAUACGGAAUGAAUUUUGGAA